AACGAACGCUGGCGGCGCGCCUAAUACAUGCAAGUCGAGCGAGAAGACGUAGCAAUACGUUUGUAAAGCGGCGAACGGGUGAGGAAUACAUGGGUAACCUACCCUCGAGUGGGGAAUAACUAGCCGAAAGGUUAGCUAAUACCGCGUACGCUCCUUGGACUUCGGUUCAGGGAGGAAAGCGAUACCGUGGGUAUCGCGCUCUUGGAUGGGCUCAUGUCCUAUCAGCUUGUUGGUGAGGAACGGCUCACCAAGGCUUCGACGGGUAGCUGGUCUGAGAGGACGAUCAGCCACACUGGCACUGCGACACGGGCCAGACUCCUACGGGAGGCAGCAGUAAGGAAUAUUGCGCAAUGGGCGAAAGCCUGACGCAGCGACGCCGCGUGGGGGAUGAAGGUCUUCGGAUUUGUAAACCCCUUUCGGGAGGGAAGAUGGAACGAGCAAUCGUUCGGACGGUACCUCCAGAAGCAGCCACGGCUAACUUCGUGCCAGCCGCCGCCGUAA
rnacentral:rRNA from 1 species